UUGCGAAAAAAUUAAGCAAUUUAAUAAAUUUAUUUGCUUUUUUUUUUCUUCCCUCCACGCAAUAAAUUCGUUGCACGUAGAUAUGAAGUGACUUUUUUACUUUUCCGAUAAAAUGUUCUCUUAAAAAUUUUGUGCAAUUAUAUUGAGUAAAAAAAAAAUUAGUCAAAAUUACUCAUUUUGUGCAACAAACAACUCAACUCUCAAGAACAUUUUUGGAAAAUGUGAUAUAGAAUUUAAGGCUUAUACUUAUACAUAUUACAAUACAGAACAACUGUUAUUUUCGUUUGCCUAAAAAUAUCAAUAUUAUUGAUUAUUCUACCUCUUAUUACUUGACGACCCUGCUUGCUCAACGGAUUUUGUACUUGCUUAAACGACUGACCGCGGCUAUUCUCACCCGGACCGUACUCGCUGACAAAAAAUGGAGAAAAAAAAACAGAAGCCCUAUUCGGAAUUUGAGAGGCAACUGCUUGUACAGUUGGUGCAGUCCAAUAUUGGUAUUCUGGAGAACAGGAAGACGGAUGCCGUUUCCCAAAAAAAAAACACGAGGCUUGGGAAGAAUUAACAAUGGAAUUUAAUAACUCUAACGUGUCACAUACUGUUGUUUCUAAACAAUUAAAAAAGAUGUGGCAAAAUAUGAAGGCAAAAGCUAGGGAUACCAAAACCCUUGAAGCCCAAAGGAAGAGAACAGGAGGAGGACCUGCACUGCCUGAAAUGGAUCCAAUGGCAGUCUUGCCACAUAGAAUGCCGAUAAUAGAUAUACCUACAGACUGUGACACAUUAACUACAACAGAAUCUAAUACUGAUCAUGAUGAUGAUGAUGAAAGCUGGAGACCAAAGAGGGCAAGAGCGUCCAGUAUAGAUCCCACAUUUGAAUAUGUAAAUCAGCUGGAAACAAGCCACAACUGGACUAAAGAACCUCGGUUAACGGAAACCAGUGUUGAGGUCACCACUAAAACUGAAUCAGCAAGCAUAAAAAAUCAAUCUUCAUUUACGGACCUUAAAAAAAAAUUGAUGUGGCAAGAAUUGGACAACAACAAAAAAAAAUUUGAGAUAGAAAUGGAACAUUUAAAAUUAAAAAAUC